rnacentral:misc_RNA from 1 species
GAUGAAGAACGCAGCAAAAUGCGAUAAGUAAUGUGAAUUGCAGAAUUCAGUGAAUCAUCGAAUCUUUGAACGCACAUUGCGCCCGCUGGUAUUCCGGCGGGCAUGCCUGUUCGAGCGUCAUUUCAACCCUCAAGCCCCCGGGUUUGGUGUUGGGGAUCGGCUCUGCCCUUCUGGGCGGUGCCGCCCCCGAAAUACAUUGGCGGUCUCGCUGCAGCCUCCAUUGCGUAGUAGCUAACACCUCGCAACUGGAACGCGGCGCGGCCAUGCCGUAAAACCCCAACUUCUGAAUGUUGACCUCGGAUCAGGUAGGAAUACCUGCUGAACUUAAGCAUAUCAAUAAGCGGAGGA